UGGAAAGGCGUGCGAUACAGGGUGACAGCCCCGUACACAAAAAUGCACAUAUUGUGAGCUCGAUGAGUAGGGCGGGACACGUGGUAUCCUGUCUGAAUAUGGGGGGACCAUCCUCCAAGGCUAAAUACUCCUGACUGACCGAUAGUGAACCAGUACCGUGAGGGAAAGGCGAAAAGAACCCCGGCGAGGGGAGUGAAAAAGAACCUGAAACCGUGUACGUACAAGCAGUGGGAGCCUCUUAAUGGGGUGACUGCGUACCUUUUGUAUAAUGGGUCAGCGACUUAUAUUCUGUAGCAAGGUUAACCGAAUAGGGGAGCCGAAGGGAAACCGAGUCUUAACUGGGCGUUAAGUUGCAGGGUAUAGACCCGAAACCCGGUGAUCUAGCCAUGGGCAGGUUGAAGGUUGGGUAACACUAACUGGAGGACCGAACCGACUAAUGUUGAAAAAUUAGCGGAUGACUUGUGGCUGGGGGUGAAAGGCCAAUCAAACCGGGAGAUAGCUGGUUCUCCCCGAAAGCUAUUUAGGUAGCGCCUCGUGAAUUCAUCUCCGGGGGUAGAGCACUGUUUCGGCAAGGGGGUCAUCCCGACUUACCAACCCGAUGCAAACUGCGAAUACCGGAGAAUGUUAUCACGGGAGACACACGGCGGGUGCUAACGUCCGUCGUGAAGAGGGAAACAACCCAGACCGCCAGCUAAGGUCCCAAAGUCAUGGUUAAGUGGGAAACGAUGUGGGAAGGCCCAGACAGCCAGGAUGUUGGCUUAGAAGCAGCCAUCAUUUAAAGAAAGCGUAAUAGCUCACUGGUCGAGUCGGCCUGCGCGGAAGAUGUAACGGGGCUAAACCAUGCACCGAAGCUGCGGCAGCGACACUAUGUGUUGUUGGGUAGGGGAGCGUUCUGUAAGCCUGUGAAGGUGGCCUGUGAGGGUUGCUGGAGGUAUCAGAAGUGCGAAUGCUGACAUAAGUAACGAUAAAGCGGGUGAAAAGCCCGCUCGCCGGAAGACCAAGGGUUCCUGUCCAACGUUAAUCGGGGCAGGGUGAGUCGACCCCUAAGGCGAGGCCGAAAGGCGUAGUCGAUGGGAAACAGGUUAAUAUUCCUGUACUUGGUGUUACUGCGAAGGGGGGACGGAGAAGGCUAUGUUGGCCGGGCGACGGUUGUCCCGGUUUAAGCGUGUAGGCUGGUUUUCCAGGCAAAUCCGGAAAACCAAGGCUGAGGCGUGAUGACGAGGCACUACGGUGCUGAAGCGACAAAUGCCCUGCUUCCAGGAAAAGCCUCUAAGCAUCAGGUAACAUCAAAUCGUACCCCAAACCGACACAGGUGGUCAGGUAGAGAAUACCAAGGCGCUUGAGAGAACUCGGGUGAAGGAACUAGGCAAAAUGGUGCCGUAACUUCGGGAGAAGGCACGCUGAUAUGUAGG
rnacentral:rRNA from 1 species